CUCUGUGCUGUGCCUCCCCCCAUCCCUCUUUCGUUCUUUUCCUUCCUUCGUUAUACAGUAUUCACUAAUCAAAGAAAGAAAAAGUGAAAACCCUGGCUACCCUCCACCACCGCCAAACGGAGUGAGCCACUGCCGCCGUCCGUGGUUGUCUGAGGCUUCUCUUUUCGUCCUGUCGGCGUUCUCCAAGUCCAACCCCUGUUCGCUCUCUUCUUCCUCGCUCGGCGUCCAUCGUCUUCGUCCUGCUCGGCGUCAU
rnacentral:lncRNA from 1 species